rnacentral:telomerase_RNA from 1 species
GCUAAUUAGGGUCGGUACCUAGAGACAGCAUAACCAUUCUUCGUUUUUCUGUAGGUUCGCUAACAGGUUGAAGAAUGGUUUCCCAAUAACCCAAUUAUAUUACAUGGGUUUUCUUCGUCAUUUGGGUUCCCAAAAACCUGGAAAUGGCAGAUGCUGUGCUCUGUCGGGUCCGGCUUUCUUUUU